rnacentral:rRNA from 1 species
UACGAAGGGGGCUAGCGUUGCUCGGAAUCACUGGGCGUAAAGCGCACGUAGGCGGAUUGCUAAGUCAGGGGUGAAAUCCUGGAGCUCAACUCCAGAACUGCCCUUGAUACUGGCGGUCUCGAGUCCGGGAGAGGUGAGUGGAACUGCGAGUGUAGAGGUGAAAUUCGUAGAUAUUCGCAAGAACACCAGUGGCGAAGGCGGCUCACUGGCCCGGUGCUGACGCUGAGGUGCGAAAGCGUGGGGAGCAAACAGG